rnacentral:misc_RNA from 1 species
UACGGAGGAUCCAAGCGGUAUGCGGAAUCAUUGGGUUUAAAGGGUCCGUAGGCGGGCCAGUAAGUCAGUGGUGAAAGUCUGCAGCUCAACUGUAGAACUGACAUUGAUACUGUUAGCCUUGAGUAAUUAUGAAGUGGUUAGAAUAUGUAGUGUAGCGGUGAAAUGCAUAGAUAUUACAUAGAAUACCGAUUGCGAAGGCAGAUCACUAAUAAUUUACUGACGCUGAUGGACGCAAGCGUAGGUAGCGAACAGG